rnacentral:rRNA from 1 species
CCUACGGGAGGCUGCAGUGGGGAAUAUUGCACAAUGGGCGCAAGCCUGAUGCAGCCAUGCCGCGUGUGUGAAGAAGGCCUUCGGGUUGUAAAGCACUUUCAGCGGGGAGGAAGGCGUUAAGGUUAAUAACCUUGUCGAUUGACGUUACCCGCAGAAGAAGCACCGGCUAACUCCGUGCCAGCAGCCGCGGUAAUACGGAGGGUGCAAGCGUUAAUCGGAAUUACUGGGCGUAAAGCGCACGCAGGCGGUCUGUCAAGUCGGAUGUGAAAUCCCCGGGCUCAACCUGGGAACUGCAUUCGAAACUGGCAGGCUAGAGUCUUGUAGAGGGGGGUAGAAUUCCAGGUGUAGCGGUGAAAUGCGUAGAGAUCUGGAGGAAUACCGGUGGCGAAGGCGGCCCCCUGGACAAAGACUGACGCUCAGGUGCGAAAGCGUGGGGAGCAAACAGGAUUAAAUACCCCUGUAGUC